GAGGGUAUAGCUCAGUGGUAGAGAGCAUGCUUAGCAUGCAUGGGGUCCUGGGUUCAAUCCCCAGUACCUCCA
rnacentral:tRNA from 1 species